GAUCAUUAAUAAUAAGCUACCCCUUUUCCUCUCAGCCAAGGCUGGAGACCAAGGUCAGCCCUCAGGGAUCAUCAUCAGGACUGCCAUGAGCUGAGCUGCCUUGUUUUCCUGCCGCAAACAUGU
rnacentral:snoRNA from 1 species